CAGGUAGGAUUACUACUUAUUUUCGCCUUGAGAUGUUUCCUGCACAACUACCAUCCUUUCAUAAACUGUCCUGCAGGCUCUUCCAGGAGAUUUGGAGACAAGUGCUGAAACUGCUCCACCACUCUCGAACUCUGGUAUUUCUGACUGUGUUCUUCUGCUGACUGAGGGUGGUGCUGAAGACUUUAAUAGUGAACUCUUGCUUUUUAAAGAACAGUCAGUCCCAAAUUACCUGGUAUCUUCUCUUCAAUAUAUCCCGUUCUAUAGGACAUCUGAAGUCUUCAUCAGCCCUCACUCCCUUAUCGCAUCGAACAUCAGCACAGAAACAGAAGAAAGCUUUGAUGAUAGCCAAGUUAACGCUAAACAAGAUGAGAACUUGAACAAUUCAGCUCUCUCCACAGGAUAUUUUCCAUAUUACAGAUCGUAUGAAGAGCCACUUGGCAAGCCACUUGCAUAUAACUUAAAUGUGAAUGCAGAGGGAAAACAGCCUGGCACCAACAGGAAAGACAGAAGGCAAGGCAGAUGUGCCCAGGCUGUUAGAAAUGUUGAGAAAGUAAGUUGCAAGGGACACUGCUCCCCACAAUGUCACAGGCUCAGCGUUAGGGCCAGGACCCUCCCGAGCAGUGUGGGGCUAAGGUGUCUCCUGGCAAUAGUCAGCAGGAGAAGCGCAAGGGGAGCACCAGCAGUGAACCCAAACCUUACGGGCCACACGGCAUCUCUGCUUCCCAAGGACCCUUGCUGGCCUUUCCGGUGGAUUCGGUAUUACAACUGAGUUAGACUUGGAGACGUGCCUUGCCUGAGUAUUGCUAUUGCAUUUUUUUAGUCAAGGCCGUGCAUACAUAGAGCACGCGCAACUAGUGUUUAUGCACAAACAUGUACUUUCAGGGCAAGAAGAGAGAAAAACUGUGAAAAAGCGAAAUAAACCAAGGACCGUUCCACCAAGUUUGGAGCCAGACAAGAGGGUAGUUUCCUCCAAUGCUGAGCCAUCUGCCCACCCACUGCUACUGGAGAGCAUCUCAGAAAACUGCGCUUCAAAGACCGCCUUUCUCAAUGAACUGCCAAGCCUAGGUCAGCCCUUUUCUUCCACUGGGUACUUUCCCUAUUACAGGACAUGUGGAGACCUCCACACCAGUCCAGCUCCUUGUGAUAGGUUCUUCACCAGGAUAGAAAUUUUGGGGGAUGAAGAGGGAGGAGGAGAGGGAGAAACAAGUGUUUGGAAUUUCAAUACCAGCUGCUCAGCAUGCUGAGAACGAGACAGGAAGUUUGUCUUUGUUGGAAAAGGAUAGAUUGAUUCAGCACAGGAGUGAACAAGAAACUCUUGAGAACUACAACAAUGACAGGGAAAUCUGCAUGAAUCUGAAAGAAAAAUACUCCUCCCUUCAAAGCAACAAGAGCAAACCUAGACUGUGUAAUGACAGCUAAGGGACACAGGCAGACAAAUGCCUGAUUUGGGGGAAACCAGAUCAACUUGUUCUAGAAAACAUCCAGAAGGAGGAGAGUGAAGACCAGGUCUAUGCUUUUCUGCAGCUGAUCCCAAAGAGUAGACACUUACUUCAGAAUUUCCUCCCUACUAAGACUAGAACCAUAAUCAAGGGUCCCGGUAUGUUUUAUAUCAGCGUCAGCCAUCCACUUAGCACAUUAUUCCCGAUGUUGGACACUGAGUACCCUAAUCUCCCUGAAGCACCCAGUUCCUGAAAAGCAGAUUGGGAUACAAAGAUGUAUUUUAUAAAAAAGCACUCAGGACUGGGUGACAGGGUAGGUCACAGGACCUGGCAGCAGGUGAUGAACAAAUACCUGUGUUUACAAAGAUGAAAGAAAGUAAAUCCACCUAUAAGUCAUCAAAAUCAUCAACAAAUGGAAGAUGUCCUUUUUAUCUUUUUGUGACUGGAAAUGUAUAUGUUUAGCUUCUCCACGAAAAGACCCUUUCAUUAGCAUGGACUUUACCUUUGCCAGGCCUUGUGGAGGUGUGUUCGUGGGAACGCUUGACAACUGAUGACAAGAGUGAAAUGAUAGUGGCAGCACACAAGGGAGAUGGCCAACAGGAAAAAUAAGAAUUGUUUGAAUCUUAGCUGCUUGGAGGAAUUAAGCAGAGACAUAAUUUCCAGUAAUGAUUGGGAAAUACAUUUCCUCUCCCCUCCACUACAAUCCUUCCAUUGUAUUAAUGGCAUCUGUUAGACCUUGUUCUCUUGCUCAUACAGAGGAGAAAGAAAACAGUUUUAUUUAAAAUCUUUGUAAAGAAAAUUUUUUCAACACAUUUUCAUUAUUUCUGUCUUCUUUUCACUUGUACAUUCAGUUAUGAAAGUGCUCAUGAUUACUUUAACAUGUGUAACUAUGGACUUCUGUGAAACAUCAGUUUUGACUAUAGAAGACAACAGAAUCCAAGAGCAACUUGACUUUGGUGAAGCUUCACUGAUUUACACCAGAUGAGGAUCUGACCAAAAAGGCCAACUCAGAGUUUUCUUUGCAAUUGUGCAAUGCUGUGACAUUCUCGCCUUCCUGCCAAACAUAUCACCUCUUUGAGACACCACACAAGUUGACGAAACACGUCUUUUUCCCCUUAGUGCUAUGUGCUGUGGGAUGCAGUAGGAGCUGCUGGGCUCAGUGCAAGUAGUCCAUGUGCUUGGACUCAUUAUUUCAGCUAAUGAAA